rnacentral:lncRNA from 1 species
GGCCCAAUCUACUGAGUGCACCAAGUAAAGCCUUCCGAAGAGAGUUUACAAAUGGAACCAAAAAUCAGAUCUCACAAGUUCUAGUCAUCGAUUCAAAGAUCUCCUAAAACUUAACCAAGAGAUACUCAACCCUAUCGCACAAAUCAACCAAAUAAAAACUAAUCAGAGCAGCCAAAUACUGAAUCAAGUUUCUGUUACAAUAUAUGAAAAAGAUUUAGAAAUCUAUUAAGGGUCAAUAACACAAUCUAUGGAAGAAAAUGAAGAAAUCACUCGAAAAAAGUAGAUAGAACAGAAAGCCUUUUUCAGAAAUCAGAACUGAAUCUCAAUGCUUGGGCCAACAAACCAAAUGUGUAAAAGAGGCAACAAGCGAUCACAGCCAUUAAUUAAAGUCAAUGGCUCACAACACAGGAGAGAGAGCACAAUAUGGGUUUCAUCUAAUCAUCCACUGAGAAGCAACCACGUGGAAUAUCACUUAAAAGAGUUGCAUCUUUGGAAACACGAUUUAUCCUUCAAUCUUCACCUUGGUUUCAAAAUGCAAACACUCUCUACAAUAUGCUUAAUGGUGCACUAAAAUGGGAGGUCCAUCAUCGCCGCCCUGUACAUGCAAAGAAAUUACCCUUUAUCGACAUUACCCUUUAGCGUCACCUAAAUCUUUCAUGUCAAAUUCAAAUUUUAAAAAGCUUUUCAAUCUUAUGAUUUUCCUUUAUUUGGACUAGCUAAUAAGACGCCAACCAUAUACAAUAGUAAGUAGGCUUCAAAGCCGGAUUUCAUGUUAUUAUAGUACAAAUAAGUUUUAUAAUCACUCCUUUUAAAACCAAUUUUAAGGACGUAUGAAUCAAACCUCUUUUACAACUGCCUAGGAAUUUAUUUUAGCCCAUAGAGUGAUUUUCCAAUUUACAAACAAAAUCAAUUUUAUUCUUCACAUCAAAAACUUGAGGUUGACUCAUUUAAAUAUUCUCCUCCAAUUCCCCAUGAAAGAAUGCAGUCUUUAACAUCUAGUUUUCAUGUUUCCAAUUAAAUUGAACAACUAAUGCAAGAUGGAUUAGUUCCCUCUUUCAAUUUAUAAAUUCAUUUGCAUUGAAUUAUUCUUUGGUUCUUAGGUCUUAUAACCAAUUUUUAAGUUUUGUUUUCCAUUAAAGAUUGCAUUUCCUCUUUCAUAGACAAUUUCCAAUUUUCUGAUUUUAAUCCAUGCACGGCCUCUUCAAAGGAGAAAGGUUCAUUAUGCUCUAUGGCCUCUCCAGAAACAGAGGUAAAAUCGGUUAAAUUUUGAGACUCAUACCUAAGAUUAGGUCAUCUCAUCUCUCUAUCCCUUACAAGCUAAUAGUCUUUGAUAGAGGUAUUUUCAAUGUUAGGGAUAUUUUCUUCUGGUUCAGUUCCUCCAAGAGGACUAUUAGCCUCUUCAACCACAAGUUCAUUCUCAUUAUCUCCUUGAAGAAAAACAGGUUCAUUCUCUUCAGAUUGAGUAAAGUCAUAUUUUGUUAAUUUCACCUCAUUCUGAAAUUUCUUAUCAAAUUCAAUUUUCUCAGAAUUAUCAUCGUUCUAUUUUAGACAUGGCAUCUCAAAUUCAUUAAACACAGCAUCCCUAUUAUUAAUGAUCUUAAUGCACCCCUCAAACCCUCAACAUGUAACCUUUAUCCCAUAGGAUAGCCUAACGUAACACAUUUUGUAGCUCUAGGCUCCAACUUAUCCUAAACUUGGUGUGCAUGCGCAGCACAACUAAAUGUCCUUAUAUGUGCUAAAUUUGGUGGUUUUCCAGUCCAUAUUUUAUGCAUAGUCUUGUACUCAACAGAAUUGAGAACUAUUGAUCAAAUAGGCAGCAGUGCAAACUACAUCAGACCAAAACCCUUUAGCCAGUCUAGAGUUGAUCAACAUGCACUGACCUUGUUCAUUAAAGUCCUAUUCAUUCAUUCUGGAACCCAUUCUGUUGGAGUGUGCACUUAACUGUCCUAUAUCACAUGAUUUGCUUUUGCUGACAAAAGUUAACAAAUUUCAAGUUACAAAACUCUAGAUCAUUAUCAGUUCUCAAAGUUUUUAACUUCUAAUCCAAUUGAUUUUCUACAAUUUUAAGCCAAGUCCGAAAUUUAUGAGAAGUCUCAAAUUUAGCCUUUAAAGGGUAAACCCAUACUUUUUUAGAGUAAUCAUCUAUUAAGGACAGAAAAUACUUAUUUCCACCAAAGGUGAUAUGCUUUUUUGGCCCCCCAAAUAUGCAUGGAUGUAAUCUAAAGGUCUCAGUUGUAUGUGAACUUGUCUCAAAACUAAUCAUGUGAGACUUUCCUAAAACACGUCACAUAAAAGUUUAAGGGUUCAAUAAAACCAUUACCAAGCAACUUUUGGUCACGCAAAUAUUUCAAACAUUUAUUUCCUAUAUGUCACAUUCUUUUGUGCCACAAUUCAGAUUUAUCUAUUGUAACGGUAAGGAGAUUUGCUUCCUAUGAAGCAAUAGCAUCACCAUCAGGUAGCACAAUCCAUUUUUCCUAGGUUCUUUCAUCACAACCACGGAUCUUUUCAUGACUUUACUGUAUUAUUCUCAAAUAUAAAGACAUGUCCUUCAGCUCCAAGGAUUUCCAAAGAUAUGAGAUUUUUUUUUUCUUUUUUUUUUUUUUUUUUUUUUUUUAAGAUUAUGGACAUAUCCUACAUUACUUAAUUGCCUGACAAUACCCUAACAUUAAUUAAAAUAUGUGAAUUGUUACCACCCAUAUAAACCUUUCUAGGUUCAAUUAUCCUACAGUUGUAAAACCAUGACCAGGACACAUGUGGAAUGUAUAGCCCAAAUCCAAAAUCUAAUCUUGGCUAAUGUCUUCACAAGACACAAUCAUAACAUGCAAGUUGUCCAAUUCAAUACCAGCAACUGCAAUGUUCAAUUCCACAUUGUUUUGAUCAUUUUGCUUCUUUUUCUACUCAAAGCAAUCCCUCUUAAAGUACCCUAACUUCCCACAUCUGUUGAACUUCUUGUUAUUUUAUCCUUUGAUUUCGAUCUCCAUUUUGUUUUAAUUCUGGAAAAUUUUAUCAUUUUUAUAACUCCUACCUCUCACAAACAUACUUUCCUCUCUAGUGUGGGACUUCGACUCUUUGCUAACUUCAAGAUCACGAGACCUUAAGGCAACAAUUACGAUAGCCUGUGUUAAGGUGCCUCUAGAGUACUUUAUUGCUUUCCUGACAUCCUUAUAGGACUCAAGUAAUGAAUUUGAUAGAAUAAUAGUAGAGUCCUCGUCAUCAAACUUCUUGUCAUUAUGUGGAAGAUUCUUCACUACAAUGCUAAAGUCACUUAGAUUAAUUUCUAAGUCCUUUCUAGGAUCUAUCCUAAACCUAAACAAAUUUUCCAACAAGUAAAUUAAUUUUAGCAUUUUCCAACAAGUAAAUUAAUUUGGCAGACUUUUAGUUAGGAACAAUUUAUCAAGUGUUGUCCACAAAGCUCUAGCGGUUUUAGCAUCAUUUACUUGUCUAACAAUAUAAUCAGAUAAAUGCAAUAUUAUAGAAUUGUAGGCAAUGUCAUUCAUUUCUUCAAUUUCAAUAGGUUUAGCUUUCAAAGCAUCAUAAAAUGAUUCACGAACAUCAAUGGCUUUUGCAACCCAGUGUUGGACUAAAAUAGCCCUCAUUUACUGCUUCCAAAUCGAGCAUCCUCCUUUCCAUCGAAUUGUGACAAUUCAUACCCAUAACGGAUUCUAUAAAAGGGCAGUAAGAACUCAAGGCCAUUCCGUAAUCUGUUUCAAAUAAGAAGAAAAAGUUCUGAAAAACAAAUUAAGUUUUACAGAUUUCGGUCAAGAAACACUUUAUGAAAUUAAUCAGUAAAGAAUCCUGUAUUUUAUCAAACAAUUAGAUAAAGGUUUGAUCGAUACAAUAGGAAUGGCACAUUGCAGCGAGUUGCAGAUAUGACAAUUGAUCAGUAGUGUCCAAUUAUUUUAUCAAUUAACAACAAUGCAGCCAUGACAAUUACAUAUAUCAAUUAAGGCAUGCAUCAACGGUUAUAAUCAUACAUAAACUGUAAUUUAAAUUUAGAAGUUAGAACGGUCUCACCAAGAACUAUUGAACAACAGUUAUAAUUUCAAAAACCACAAUUGAAAACAACUUAUGAAGUGCCAAUAGCCCAGAACCAUAUUAAUCAAUUCCAAUCUCGUACUCAGGUGCUGAAUGUCAAUUGCCUAAGAAAAAUAGCCACAGAACAUAAAAUUAGUCAACAAUCACAGCAAUUACGCAAUAUAUUUGUACCAAAGUUUUUCAAGAAAACGGUUGAAUCAAGAAUGGUUAUGUUCUGCAGAUCCUUUUCAAGAUCUGUAGAGAUCGAAAAACAAUUAUUAAAAAAAAAAAUUGAUUCAAAGGUUUUGUAAAAACAAAAAUUUUCCCAAAAGCCCAACAAGGCUCCGAUACCAGUUGUAUGGAUUUUCUUGUUCCCAAUUGAUAAAAACAGAUGUAAAAACGAUAAUAUGCAGAAACAUAAACAACGCAAGAACGCCAAAAAUGUUGACCCAAUUCGGCUAUUGCUUAAUUUGGGGGCUCAACUACCAGCCCAAUUGACUAAGUGCACCAAGGAAAGUCUUCUAGAGAGAGAGAGUUUACAAAUGGAACCAAAAAUCAGCACAAGUUCUAAUCAUCGAUCUAUAGAUCUCCUAAAGCUUAACCAAGAAAUACUCGACCCCUAUCACACAAAUCAAACGAACAGGAAAUAAUUAGAAAAGCCAAAUACGGACUCAAGCUUCUAUUACAAUAUGCGAAAAGGAUUUACAGAUCUAUUAAGGAUUAACAACACAAUCUAUGGUAGAAAAUGAAGAGAUCGCUCGAGAAAGAAUAGAGAAAACAGAAAGCCUUCUCCAGAAAUGAGAACUGGAUAUCAAACUAUACAUUUCAACCCUCAUUUCAACAUUAUUUUACGGAGUUGAUUCUUUCCAUUGUCCAUUCCUUCUAUCAAAUAUAGAUAAUUCAUGUCCAUCAUUUAUAUGGGGUAUGGUAUUG